rnacentral:tRNA from 1 species
GCGGAAGUAGCUCAACUGGUUAGAGCACUCGCCUGUCACGUGAGAGGUUGCGGGUUCAAGUCCCGUCUUCCGCG